rnacentral:rRNA from 1 species
AAGGUGGGGAUGACGUCAAAUCAUCAUGCCCCUUAUGAUUUGGGCUACACACGUGCUACAAUGGACAAUACAAAGGGCAGCGAAACCGCGAGGUCAAGCAAAUCCCAUAAAGUUGUUCUCAGUUCGGAUUGUAGUCUGCAACUCGACUAUAUGAAGCUGGAAUCGCUAGUAAUCGUAGAUCAGCAUGCUACGGUGAAUACGUUCCCGGGUCUUGUACACACCGCCCGUCACACCACGAGAGUUUGUAACACCCGAAGCCGGUGGAGUAACCAUUUGGAGCUAGCCGUCGAAGGUGGGACAAAUGAUUGGGGUGAAGUCGUAACAAGGUAGCCGUAUCGGAAGGUGCGGCUGGAUCACCUCCUUU